CCUACGGGGGGCAGCAGUGGGGAAUUUUGGACAAUGGGGGCAACCCUGAUCCAGCAAUGCCGCGUGUGUGAAGAAGGCCUUCGGGUUGUAAAGCACUUUUGUCAGGAACGAAACGGUGGGGGCUAAUACCUCCUGCUAAUGACGGUACCUGAAGAAUAAGCACCGGCUAACUACGUGCCAGCAGCCGCGGUAAUACGUAGGGUGCGAGCGUUAAUCGGAAUUACUGGGCGUAAAGCGUGCGCAGGCGGUUGUGCAAGACAGAUGUGAAAUCCCCGGGCUC
rnacentral:rRNA from 1 species